CCAAGGAGAACUAAAAAAAAGUAUUACUUUGGAAACAUCACGAACAACCGCCAAUGAAUGUGCAAAUGAUCUACAUCGCGGGAAAAGGAACCUUUAAUCAUCAAUUAUAUUAACUUAAUAGCCGCAUAUUAAUGUCUACUAAAUAGCAACGUUGGUUCUGUCUAUUAAGCAACAUAUGUUGCAUUAUCGCCAUUACAUGCAUUUAACAUAAAUUACUUAUAUGUAGCUAGUAUUUUGUAGUAUAUACAAAGAAUUUAUCUUACUUUUUCGCUACAGGUAAAACAGAUCCCCCACCGGAUGAAGAGCCAGAAUACAUAAAGUCAUGCAAAAACCCAAAAUUUAAGAAAAUAUUGAGAUUAUUGCAUCAUAUAGACAAAAGUGUGAAUGUAGAUGGACAAUUUCGAGAUUUAAACGUUUUGGAAAUCAAAAUAAUCUCAGUAGAUACAAAUUGGAGAGGAAAAGGCGUUGCAAAGGCUCUCAUAGAAAAAGCAAUAGAAAUUGCGAAGGAGCAAGGAUUUCAUUACGCUAGGGCAGAUUGCUCGUCCUUAUUUUCCGGCAAACUUUGUGCACGAAUUGGCUUUGACGCGAUAUACAAACUCGAUUAUAACGACUACGUGGAUGAAGAAGGAAAACCAAUUUUUUCACCUGCUUCGCCUCACACAGCAGUUGUUAGUUACAUAAAAAAAUUAUAAAGAGCAAAAAAAUUAAAUAAAAAGUUGGUAUUAGAAUAAAAAAGUGGUCGUCGGAAUCGAUAACAAACAAGAAUUCAGUUUGACAAGAAAAUAUUAAAGAUGUAUAAUUGAGAUA